AAACUUUUUCAUCUUCUGAAAAAGUCAGGUAAGCUUUUGAUUUUUAUAUUGCUUGCACCCUUACCCUCAAUAAACAAAUUCCUUCUUCAGUUAAAAAAAA